AUAGUACUCCCUUCAUCCGGAAAUACUUGUCAUUAAAAUAAAUAAAAGAAAAUGUAUCUAGAUGUAUUUUAGUUCUAAAUACAUCUAUUUUUAUCCAUUUUGAUGAUAAGUAUUUUCGGACAGAGGGAAUAGACA
rnacentral:pre_miRNA from 1 species